AGUCGGUCUAAUGGGAGAAUGCAUUCUCCCGGUGGUGGCGGCUUCAUGGUAAGAUCACUCCGGUGGACAUUCCGGCGGCGGAGAAGGCUGGUUCUACAACCACAACCAAGGUGGUUGCCACAAAAAUCGCAACGGAGUUGGCGGUGGUGGACACCCGGAUCAGCAGCAGGAGAUGUUUCUCCAGAUAAGCGUUUGAUUGCGGCGGGAGAUUGUGACUUCGAAUCAAUUGCCACCCAAAGAGUUUCCGAGAAGGAGGGCAGCCAUCCUGUCGGCAAACCUGGUUCGAUGAUCACUUCAACGAUGAUGUUUCGCAGCAGCAGCACCACCACCACUACCAGUAAAGGAGGGGUAACUGGAACAAUGGUCCUCGGGUGGUCCUAGAAUUCGUGAUAACCGUCAGCCGAAGAACGACCCUGACGGUCAACGGGGUCGGAUGUGGAAGAGGUCAGUCUGCUCCGAAAACGCGCCAACAAGCCGAACGACCUUCUGCUGGACGAGUGCUGCAUCCUCCCGAACCGGGUGCGCAUCGCCCAGUUGCAGUCAGGCAUCAGUCGGUAGUUAAAGGUACUUAACGACCGCUCGAAUAUCGCAUCACGGUGGCCAGAAUAUGGUGAAUGAAAUUGCUUUGAAAUAUAAACUAGGGUUUAAAACAA